CACCUUGUCUGAGGAACCUUUGCAUCUUAAUCAUGGGCAAAGGGUCUUAGCUUUUAAACUCAGUUAAAGCCAGCUUUUUAUUGUUUGAGUGCUAUGCCAUGUGGUUGUGCUUUGUAAGGACUCUCAGCAGUUGCCCUCACUCCCUAAUGAACAGGCCCAGUGUAAGAUCUCUACCCUUAACUGCUGUAGGGUAGGAGUUGGAAGAGGGUAACCUCUUCCAUUUGUGCCCUCUGGUCUGGAGCCAAGCCAUGUCUCAGGUGGCUGUUGCCAGUUUCUUGAAGACUUUUUUUUUCCUCUCUGGAGAGACGACAUAAGGAGAGAAGAGCCCUGAUGGAAUCUUGGGUGAUGGACAUCUAUUGGUACAAAUGGAGAAGACAGAGCAUACUGGGAUACCUUUGACAGGUGAGAAGCAGGACAAACUCUGGGGUGUGCUUUACUUUCUCAAAUCAUUCCUGUGGCAUGAGACUAUGGUGUGACUUUGAAUUUGUACCCCACCCUGGCUUUCUCCACUUUUCACUUUGGGAGAGCAAUUCCAGAAGUCAUGGGCAGUUUUAACGUGAUGAUCAGCCAGCAUAGCAAGAUUGCUCAUGCUGUAACCAUCUAAAUGA
rnacentral:lncRNA from 1 species